UACGUAGGGUGCAAGCGUUGUCCGGAAUUAUUGGGCGUAAAGAGCUCGUAGGCGGUUUGUUGCGUCGGCUGUGAAAUCCCGAGGCUCAACCUCGGGUCUGCAGUCGAUACGAGCAAACUAGAGUGUUGCAGGGGAGACUGGAAUUCCUGGUGUAGCGGUGGAAGUGCGCAGAUAUCAGGAGGAACACCGAUGGCGAAGGCAGAUCUCUGGGCCGUAACUGACGCUGAGGAGCGAAAGCAUGGGGAGCGAACAGG
rnacentral:rRNA from 1 species